rnacentral:rRNA from 1 species
GAUGAACGCUGGCGGCGUGCCUAACACAUGCAAGUCGAGCGAUCUUCUUCGGAAGAGAGCGGCGGACGGGUGAGUAACGCGUGGGUAACCUGCCUCAUACACAUGGAUAACAUACCGAAAGGUAUGCUAAUACAAGAUGAUAUAAGAGAUUCGCAUGGAUUUCUUAUCAAAGCUCCGGCGGUAUGAGAUGGACCCGCGUCUGAUUAGCUAGUUGGUAAGGUAACGGCCUAACAAGGCGACGAUCAGUAGCCGACCUGAGAGGGUGAUCGGCCACAUUGGAACUGAGACACGGUCCAAACUCCUACGGGAGGCAGCAGUGGGGAAUAUUGCACAAUGGGCGAAAGCCUGAUGCAGCAACGCCGCGUGAGCGAUGAAGGCCUUCGGGUCGUAAAGCUCUGUCCUCAAGGAAGAUAAUGACGGUACUUGAGGAGGAAGCCCCGGCUAACUACGUGCCAGCCGCCGCAGUAAUAC